rnacentral:tRNA from 1 species
GGAGAGAUGACCGAGUGGCUGAAGGUGCACGCCUGGAAAGCGUGUGUACUGCAAGGUACCGAGAGUUCGAAUCUCUCUCUCUCCGCCA